GUUCAUUCCUGAACAUAUACUAAAAUUGGAACAAUACAGAGAAGAUUUGUAUGACCCCUACGCAAGGAUAGCACGCAAAUUCGUGAAACGUUCCAAAAAAGA
rnacentral:snRNA from 1 species